GAUGAACGCUAGCGGCAGGCUUAAUACAUGCAAGUCGUGGGGCAGCAUGGGGUAGCAAUACUCUGAUGGCGACCGGCAAACGGGUGCGGAACACGUACGCAACCUUCCCAAAACUGGUGAAUAGCCCUCCGAAAGGAGGAUUAAUACACCGUAACAUAACGAAGUGGCAUCACUUUGUUAUUAUAGCUCCGGCGGUUUUGGAUGGGCGUGCGCCUGAUUAGGUAGUUGGCGGGGUAACGGCCCACCAAGCCUACGAUCAGUAACUGGUGUGAGAGCACGACCAGUCACACGGGCACUGAGACACGGGCCCGACUCCUACGGGAGGCAGCAGUAAGGAAUAUUGGUCAAUGGACGCAAGUCUGAACCAGCCAUGCCGCGUGAAGGAUGAAGGUCCUCUGGGAUUGUAAAACUUCUUUUAUCUGGGGACGAAAAAAAGGGCUUUCUAGCUCACUUGACGGUACCAGAGGAAUAAGCACCGGCUAACUCCGUGCCAGCAGCCGCGG
rnacentral:rRNA from 1 species